UGUCAGUGAGAGGACAGAAGAGCUCACAUCAGUUCAGCUUCAACAUCAACAUGUUCUCUGCAGCUCUGAUACUGCUGCUGGCAGCUGGAUCCUGUGUGAACAGUAUUGAUCUCAUCCAGCCAGACGCGAUGGUUGUGCAGCCUGGACAGUCUUUGACCAUCACCUGUCAGGUCUCUGGUUAUUCUUUGACUGAUAACAGCUAUGCAACAUGUUGGAUCAGACAGUGUCAAGGAAAACCAAUGGAAUGGAUUUUUCAUCAGUGGGGAGGAGGUAGCCUAACUCAAAAUGAUGCUCUGAAGAACAAGUUCAGCUACAGCAGAGACACUUCUGCUGGAACAGUGACUAUAAAAGGAAGUAAUCUGCAGCCUGAAGACACAGCUGUGUAUUACUGUGUACGUGAGCCCACAGUGACAAAAACCACCAACAGACCUGCACAAAUACUCUGCAACACACAUACGUCAACAAGAUAUGCGCUCUUCUAUUGGCUCCAGUUAGACCAACAUUGAUGCUUCAUGUGUUUGAUUCUAUGCAAACUCAGUGACCUUCCUUGUUAACCAUGUUUGCUGUAGCUUAGCUUAGCAUUAGUGCGGUGAAACUGUAUCCAUGUGUCUUAAUAAGGACAUCACUUGAUAUCAUACAUGUGAUACAGAAAUGUACAUUUUGUUAAUAUUUAUAUAAAAAGCUUCCACGUGAUUUGUAGAUUGAACAGAACAUUUUUUUAUGAAAACUAUU